UACGAAGGGGGCUAGCGUUGCUCGGAAUCACUGGGCGUAAAGCGCACGUAGGCGGAUCUUUAAGUCAGGGGUGAAAUCCUGGAGCUCAACUCCAGAACUGCCUUUGAUACUGAGGAUCUCGAGUCCGGGAGAGGUGAGUGGAACUGCGAGUGUAGAGGUGAAAUUCGUAGAUAUUCGCAAGAACACCAGUGGCGAAGGCGGCUCACUGGCCCGGUACUGACGCUGAGGCACGAAAGCGUGGGGAGCAAACAGG
rnacentral:rRNA from 1 species